GAGCAACGGUGAAGGAGGGCCGGCGGUCGGCGGAGGCGGGGGAAAGAAGAGGCGAGUCGGCGCCGAAGCUGAUCAUGGGCACGUCCGGUUCGGGGAAGCGGUAGCCGGAGCCGGUGGCGACGGGCGGCGGCAGGGAGAAGGCGGAGGAGGGGGGAGUCGGGGGGAGGUCGGCGAAGAGGUGCUCGCGGAUGAAGUCGAGGGUGGGAUCGCCAAAGCCGCCGAUCCCCGACGCCAUGAGUCAAGAACGAAUCUACCGAAGAGAAGAACACGAUAGAGGCGCAAGAAGGAAAGCGCGACGGAU
rnacentral:lncRNA from 1 species